UGAAUACGAGAUGCUACGGCGUCGAAGCAGUCUAUGUCAUACUUCCAAGAAAAGCUCGCACUGUCAUAAACAAAUAAUGCCUGUACCAUAACCGACACAGGUGGGUAGGUAGAGUAUACUAAGGGGCGCGAGAUAACCCUCUCUAAGGAACUCGGCAAAAUGACUCCGUAACUUCGGGAGAAGGAGUGCCUUAUUUAUAAGGUUGCAAUAACAAGAUCCAAGCAACUGUUUAUCAAAAACACAGGUCUCCGCUAAGUCGUAAGACGAUGUAUGGGGGCUGACGCCUGCCCAGUGCCAGAAGGUUAAAGAAGUUGGUUAGCAUUCGCGAAGCUGAUAACUGAAGCCCUGGUGAACGGCGGCCGUAACGAUAACGGUCCUAAGGUAGCGAAAUUCCUUGUCGGGUAAGUUCCGACCCGCACGAAAGGCGUAAUGAUUUGGAUACUGUCUCGGAGAGGGGCUCGGUGAAAUAGACUUGUCUGUGAAGAUGCGGACUACCUGCACCAGGACAGAAAGACCCUAUGAAGCUUUACUGUAACUUGAGAUUGAAAUUGGACUUUACUUGCGCAGUAUAGGUGGGAGGCGUUGAUAAUAUUCUUGCGGGAUUAUUUGAGCCAUCAGUGAGAUACCACUCUUGUAAUGUUAGAUUUCUAACUUUGUAUCAUUAUCUGGUCAAAGGACAGUUUCAGGCGGGCAGUUUGACUGGGGCGGUCGCCUCCUAAACGGUAACGGAGGCGCACAAAGGUUUCCUCUGAACGGGUAGAAAUCGUAUCUAGAGUGUAAAGGCAUAAGGAAGCUUGACUGUGAGACCUACAAGUCGAGCAGGGACGAAAGUCGGUCUUAGUGAUCCGACGGUGCUGAGUGGAAAGGCCGUCGCUCAACGGAUAAAAGUUACUCUAAGGAUAACAGGCUGAUCUCCCCCAAGAGUUCACAUCGACGGGGAGGUUUGGCACCUCGAUGUCGGCUCAUCGCAUCCUGGGGCGGUAGUACGUCCCAAGGGUUGGGCUGUUCGCCCAUGAAAGCGGUACGCGAGCUGGGUUCAGAACGUCGUGAGACAGUUCGGUCCAUAUCCGGUGUAGGCGUUAGAAUAUUGAGAGGAGCCUUCUUUAGUACGAGAGGACCGAGAAGGACAUACCUCUGGUGUACCAGUUAUCGUGCCAACGGUAAACGCUGGGUAGCUAUGUAUGGAGUGGAUAACCGCUGAAAGCAUCUAAGUGGGAAGCCCACCUCAAGAUAAGUA
rnacentral:rRNA from 1 species